rnacentral:tRNA from 1 species
GGUGGUAUAGCCAAGUGGUAAGGCAUGGGUCUGCAAAACCUCGAUCACCGGUUCGAAUCCGGUUACCACCU